rnacentral:rRNA from 1 species
CACUGCAGUCGAGCGGGGAAAAGUAGCUUGCUACUUUACCUAGCGGCGGACGGGUGAGUAAUGCUUAGGAAUCUGCCUAUUAGUGGGGGACAACAUCUCGAAAGGGAUGCUAAUACCGCAUACGUCCUACGGGAGAAAGCAGGGGACCUUCGGGCCUUGCGCUAAUAGAUGAGCCUAAGUCGGAUUAGCUAGUUGGUGGGGUAAAGGCCUACCAAGGCGACGAUCUGUAGCGGGUCUGAGAGGAUGAUCCGCCACACUGGGACUGAGACACGGCCCAGACUCCUACGGGAGGCAGCAGUGGGGAAUAUUGGACAAUGGGGGGAACCCUGAUCCAGCCAUGCCGCGUGUGUGAAGAAGGCCUUUUGGUUGUAAAGCACUUUAAGCGAGGAGGAGGCUACCGAGAUUAAUACUCUUGGAUAGUGGACGUUACUCGCAGAAUAAGCACCGGCUAACUCUGUGCCAGCAGCCGCGGUAAUACAGAGGGUGCAAGCGUUAAUCGGAUUUACUGGGCGUAAAGCGCGCGUAGGUGGCCAAUUAAGUCAAAUGUGAAAUCCCCGAGCUUAACUUGGGAAUUGCAUUCGAUACUGGUUGGCUAGAGUAUGGGAGAGGAUGGUAGAAUUCCAGGUGUAGCGGUGAAAUGCGUAGAGAUCUGGAGGAAUACCGAUGGCGAAGGCAGCCAUCUGGCCUAAUACUGACACUGAGGUGCGAAAGCAUGGGGAGCAAACAGGAUUAGAUACCCUGGUAGUCCUGCCGUAACGAUGUCUACUAGCCGUUGGGGCCUUUGAGGCUUUAUUGC